AUUGAACGCUGGCGGCAUGCCUUACACAUGCAAGUCGAACGGUAACAGGUCUUCGGAUGCUGACGAGUGGCGAACGGGUGAGUAAUACAUCGGAACGUGCCCGAUCGUGGGGGAUAACGAAGCGAAAGCUUUGCUAAUACCGCAUAAGAUCUACGGAUGGAAGCAGGGGACCGCAAGGCCUUGCGCGAACGGAGCGGCCGAUAGCAGAUUAGGUAGUUGGUGGGAUAAAAGCUUACCAAGCCGACGAUCUGUAGCUGGUCUGAGAGGACGACCAGCCACACUGGGACUGAGACACGGCCCAGACUCCUACGGGAGGCAGCAGUGGGGAAUUUUGGACAAUGGGCGAAAGCCUGAUCCAGCCAUGCCGCGUGCAGGAUGAAGGCCUUCGGGUUGUAAACUGCUUUUGUACGGAACGAAAAGACUCUUUCUAAUAAAGAGGGUCCAUGACGGUACCGUAAGAAUAAGCACUGGCUAACUACGUGCCAGCAGCCGCAGUAACAC
rnacentral:rRNA from 1 species